rnacentral:rRNA from 1 species
AGCGAACGUUAGCGGCGCGCCUAACACAUGCAAGUCGCACGAGAAACGGAGCAAUCCGCGGUACAGUGGCGCACGGGUGAGUAACACGUGGAUGACCUUCCCUGGAGUGGUGGAUAACCUGCCGAAAGGCGGGCUAAUACAGCAUAGGACCACGACGCUUUGGCGAUGUGGUGAAAGCGGGCCUCUAUAUAUAAGCUCGCGCUCCGGGACGGGUCCGCGUCCCAUCAGCUAGUUGGUGAGGUAACGGCUCACCAAGGCAACGACGGGUAGCUGGUCUGAGAGGAUGGCCAGCCACACUGGAACUGAGACACGGUCCAGACUCCUACGGGAGGCAGCAGUGGGGAAUCUUGCGCAAUGGGCGAAAGCCUGACGCAGCGACGCCGCGUGGGCGAAGAAGGCC